GAUGAACGCUGGCGGCGUGCCUAAUACAUGCAAGUCGAGCGAACGGACGAGAAGCUUGCUUCUCUUAUGUUAGCGGCGGACGGGUGAGUAACACGUGGAUAACCUACCUAUAAGACUGGGAUAACUUCGGGAAACCGUAGCUAAUACCGGAUGAUAUUUUGAACCGCAUGGUUCAUAAUUGAAAGACGGUCUUGCUGUCACUUAUAGAUGGCUCCGGUCUUCAUUAGUUAUUUGUUAAUGUAACGGCUUACCAAGGCAACGAUGCAUAGCCGACCUGAGAGGGGGGUCGGCCACACUGGAACUGAGAAACGGUCAAGACUCCUACGGGAGGCAGCAGAAGGGAAUCUUCGGAAAUGGGGGAAAGCCUGACGGAGCAAGGCCGCGGGAGGGAUGAAGGUCUUGGGAUGGUAAAACUCUGUUAUUAGGGAAGAACAUAUGUGUAAGUAAAUGUGCACAUCUUGACGGUACCUAAUCAGAAAGCCACGGCUAACUACGUG
rnacentral:rRNA from 1 species